rnacentral:rRNA from 1 species
UAGAGUUUGAUCAUGGCUCAGAUUGAACGCUGGCGGCAGGCCUAACACAUGCAAGUCGAGCGGCAGCGGGAAGUAGCUUGCUACUUUGCCGGCGAGCGGCGGACGGGUGAGUAAUGUCUGGGAAACUGCCUGAUGGAGGGGGAUAACUACUGGAAACGGUAGCUAAUACCGCAUGACGUCGCAAGACCAAAGUGGGGGACCUUCGGGCCUCACGCCAUCGGAUGUGCCCAGAUGGGAUUAGCUAGUAGGUGAGGUAAUGGCUCACCUAGGCGACGAUCCCUAGCUGGUCUGAGAGGAUGACCAGCCACACUGGAACUGAGACACGGUCCAGACUCCUACGGGAGGCAGCAGUGGGGAAUAUUGCACAAUGGGCGCAAGCCUGAUGCAGCCAUGCCGCGUGUGUGAAGAAGGCCUUAGGGUUGUAAAGCACUUUCAGCGAGGAGGAAGGCGUUGUAGUUAAUAGCUGCAACGAUUGACGUUACUCGCAGAAGAAGCACCGGCUAACUCCGUGCCAGCAGCCGCGGUAAUACGGAGGGUGCAAGCGUUAAUCGGAAUUACUGGGCGUAAAGCGCACGCAGGCGGUUUGUUAAGUCAGAUGUGAAAUCCCCGAGCUUAACUUGGGAACUGCAUUUGAAACUGGCAAGCUAGAGUCUUGUAGAGGGGGGUAGAAUUCCAGGUGUAGCGGUGAAAUGCGUAGAGAUCUGGAGGAAUACCGGUGGCGAAGGCGGCCCCCUGGACAAAGACUACGCUCAGUCGAAG